rnacentral:rRNA from 1 species
ACGGAGGGUGCAAGCGUUAAUCGGAAUUACUGGGCGUAAAGCGCACGCAGGCGGUCUGUUAAGCUAGAUGUGAAAGCCCCGCGCUCAACGUGGGAUGGUCAUUUAGAACUGGCAGACUAGAGUUUUGGAGAGGAGAGUGGAAUUUCUGGUGUAGCGGUGAAAUGCGUAGAUAUCAGAAGGAACAUCAGUGGCGAAGGCGACUCUCUGGUCAAUAACUGACGCUCAUGUGCGAAAGUGUGGGUAGCGAACGGG